rnacentral:misc_RNA from 1 species
UCAAACUUGGUCAUUUAGAGGAAGUAAAAGUCGUAACAAGGUUUCCGUAGGUGAACCUGCGGAAGGAUCAUUACCGAGUUAGGGGAGGCCGUGGGCACGCCCGCGGUCCUCCGCGAACCUCCCAACCCUUUGUCUACUUAACCACAAACGUUGCUUCGGCAGGCCCGCCGACCCCUGGCUCGCCCGGGGGGACGCCGCCGGGGGUCUCGCGACCCCGGGCCCGCGCCUGUCGACGGCCCCUUCUCAAACUCUUGUCAAAACGUGUCGUCUGAGUUUACAAACAAAAUACAAACCAAAAACUUUCAACAACGGAUCUCUUGGUUCUGGCAUCGAUGAAGAACGCAGC